ACGCUCGACACCUACGGAGGCAGCAGUGGGGAAUAUUGCACAAUGGGGGAAACCCUGAUGCAGCGACGCCGCGUGAGCGAAGAAGUAUUUCGGUAUGUAAAGCUCUAUCAGCAGGGAAGAUCAUGACGGUACCUGACUAAGAAGCUCCGGCUAAAUACGUGCCAGCAGUCGCGGUAAUCUGAGCGGGCUGGCAAGGC
rnacentral:rRNA from 1 species